UACAGAGGUCUCAAGCGUUGUUCGGAUUCAUUGGGCGUAAAGGGUGCGUAGGCAGCGUCGUAAGUCGGGUGUGAAAUCUCGGGGCUUAACUCCGAAAUUGCAUUCGAUACUGCGGUGCUUGAGGACUGGAGAGGAGACUGGAAUUCACGGUGUAGCAGUGAAAUGCGUAGAUAUCGUGAGGAAGACCGGUGGCGAAGGCGGGUCUCUGGACAGUUCCUGACGCUGAGGCACGAAGGCCAGGGGAGCAAACAGG
rnacentral:rRNA from 1 species